rnacentral:snRNA from 1 species
GAAAAUUAUAGCUCUCUUUAGUAUUUCUCUAGUAGGUUUCCUCAAGGAGAAGGCCUCU